CCUGACUGGUCCCUAUCACAGGCCUCACCUUGCUCCUGAGGUCUGAGCACCCUACUCCUCAGGGCACUGUGAGCUCAGAAGCAAGAGACAGAACAGCUCAUGCCCCUGACCAUUUCCUGCUGAAUGCGCAUGCCACAGCUGUGCUCAACGUCCUCACAGGGGAGCCCCACCCACAACCAUGCCCUCUGCCUGCCCCAGAGGGGCCUCUUGUCAGUGCCCACAGAGGCCGGGCCCAGCCUGUACCCCAGGCGCUCAGCUGAGUUUAUCUUCCCGGGAGUCUUCUGGCCUGGCCAUGGUGCCUGUUCUGCCCCAGCUGGGGGUGUGCUGCCUCUCUGCACACAUAGUACUCAGGGAAACACACCCGGGUGGGAUUCAUAAAACCCUAAAGGAAAGCAAGGGCGUGAUCAACCCAAGUCAAAGUAAAGGUGAUCUCUGGGGAGGGGAGGAAUCGCUGGGGAGGUCACCAGGGCGCUCCUAGGACUCUCGUAAUGUUCUGGUCAUAACUGGGGAAUGGGCACACCUGGUAUUAUUGUUGUAAUGUGUACACGUGUGUGGUUUUUUUUUUUUUUUUUAAAUUGAGUUUUGCUUUAUCACCCAGGCUGGAGUGCAGAGGUGUGAUCACGACUCACUGCAGCCU
rnacentral:lncRNA from 1 species